GGAUGCGAUCAUACCAGCACUAAAGCACCGGAUCCCAUCAGAACUCCAAAGUUAAGCAUGCUUGGGCGAGAGUAGUACUAGGAUGGGUGACCUCCUGGGAAGUCCUUGUGUUGCAUUCC
rnacentral:rRNA from 1 species